rnacentral:rRNA from 1 species
AAUUCCAGCUCCCCGAGUGGUUAGGAUGUUUAUUGGGCCUAAAGCAUCCGUAGCCGGUCUUGUAGGUCUUCUGUUAAAUCCACCAGCUCAACUGUUGGGCCGCAGAAGAUACCGCAGGACUAGGAGGCGGGAGAGGUGGACGGUACUUUAUGGGUAGGGGUAAAAUCUUUUGAUCCAUAGAAGACCACCAGUGGCGAAGGCGGUCCACCAGAACGCGCUCGACGGUGAGGGAUGAAAGCUGGGGGAGCGAACCGGAUUAGAUACCCGGGUAGUCCCAGCUGUAAACGAUGCGAGCUAGGUGAUGGGGUGGCUGCGAGCCAUCCCAGUGCCCCAGGGAAGCCGUUAAGCUCGCCGCCUGGGAAGUACGACCGCAAGGUUGAAACUUAAAGGAAUUGGCGAGGGAGCACCACAAGGGGUGAAGCCUGCGGUUCAAUUGGAGUCAACGCCGGGAACCUUACCGGGGGAGACAGCAGGAUGAAAGUCAGGCUGAAGACUUUACUAGACAAGCUGAGAGGAGGCGCAUGGCCGUCGCCAGCUCGUGCCGUGAGGCGUCCUGUUAAGUCAGGUAACGAGCGAGACCCUUGCCGCUAAUUGCUACCUUCAUCCGAAAGAAUGAGGGGGCUAGUUAACGGGACUGCUGCCGCUAAGGCGGAGGAAGGAAGGGGCCACGGCAGGUCAGUAUGCCCCGAAACCCUCGGGCCACACGCGGGCUGCAAUGGUAGGUACAAUGGGCUCCGACCUCGAAAGAGGAAAGCAAUCCUCAAACCCUACCCCAGUUGUGAUUGAGGGCUGCAACCCGCCCUCAUGAAUAUGGAAUCCCUAGUAAUCGCGUGUCAUCACCGCGCGGUGAAUACGUCCCUGCUCCUUGCACACACCGCCCGUCGCUUCACCCGAGUUAAGUUUAGGCGAGGUGGCGCCAAAUUGACGUCGUCGAACCUAGGCUUGACAAGGGGGGAGAAGUCGUAACAAGGUAACC